rnacentral:lncRNA from 1 species
UCUCUAAAUUGGCCGUAUCUUGACUUGGAUUCUCAAAAGCACCUGCUUUAGAUUUGAGUAUGUUUACUUUGUUUUGCCUCGUUAGCCUAGAUUUCAUAGUUUUAUUGGUUCAGUGCUUGAAGUUGUUUUGAUAGUAGAUUAAUGGAAAAGUUUUGUCCUUUCUUGAAUCUAUAUGAGAAACAAUACUUCUGUAUCUAGUGAAGCGUUGGAGUUUGAUGGUGGUCACAUUUAGAAAUCACUCUGCGAUAUUGGUUAUAUAUGGUGAUGUUGGCGCAAUGUAGAGCUUAAAGUUCGCUCCUUUAUAAUGAUAUGACUGCUUCUUAAUGUAAUACAGUUUUCUUAUUAGUGUUUAUCUUUCGCUUCUUAAUCUCAGAUUAGGCAAUAAUUUCUCUACAAUCUCUAGGAGAAGAGCAUAUAAAGGUGUGGAGAACAUUGACAUAUGAUUGGUUUACAGUAAUCCUGCAGAGUCUGAAUCUCUUCCACAUCCACUGCUGUCACACAGUUACUUGCAACCUCCAGCUGCGCUUUCACCUUGUACCAAGUCCAUGCGCCGUGGCACACGCCAUGGACGAGCACAAACUGUUUCUGGUUCUUCUUCUCAAUUGCCUUUCUUACUCUCAACAUCUUGGUUCAACACUUGCAUACAUACGGUAAGUUUCCCAAAUACUCUUUGUAUAUUGGCUGUUAGUUUUUGGUCGUUCUCUGAGAUCUAGAGAAUGCUAAAACAACACUACAUUGAUUGUUAGAUUUCUCAUUUCAGCUAUAGUAUGAAAUAAAGUCUGAACGUUUAGAAAGAUCCAUUUUAGAACAUGUUCAAUUGUAUUAAAUCCAGAUACAUUUUUUGUUGGUGGACCUGAAGACUCCAUCUGAGGUCAUUUGUUGGCGUGUUAGAGUUCGUGGUGAUUGUUUCAGUGACCUUCACAGGUUAGAAGUGGUCAUAGUAUAGGCAGGAAUAAGUUAUUGAAACGAGAGAUUAUAAAAGAUUAGUUGAUCAGCUUAGUUAGUUUGGGUGAAAAACUGCUUAGAUUUCUCAAUAUAAGAACUCUUAUUAAUCCAGUGAGGAUCCUAGAUUUAUUUAGGCAAUAUUUACCUGCUAUCUUUAAACGAGAUGAUGACUAGAAUUCUUGAGGCUUUGAUACAUUGGAUCUGUAUCUUUGAUCCCCCAUUACUUCUUCAACCUCCUUAAUAUUCUUGUUCAUAAUCCUUCUAUGUUUAAAAUCCCUGGGCACACAUUAUCAUAUUUGCAUACGCGACCAGUCUCCACAGUCCACCCUUUCUCCUUGAAGCUUCAAGUUGUAACUUCACACACCCUAGCAGAAUCCUCGGCAAGCACAUACCACUCAUGGUUAUUUGCCUUCUCUUUUUAGCCUCUUUGUUCAUCUAUUCUUUUAACUAGUUUCUCUGGUAAUAGAAGAUAUAGAGAAUGGUUCACUAAUAUUUUACUGACCAUUUGUUUUUACUUAGUAUUGACUAUAAGAUCUAGCUAUGAUUAUAUGAACCCAUGAAACCUUCUUAAACAAAAUCAUAUUCGCACUGCUAAACAUUCUUCUAGUAUGCAUUUUCAGCUUGUCUACAUAUAGCAGAUCACGACUAACUUUUUUUUAAUUUUUUCAUAGAAGCUGAAGUUCAUAGUAAUAUACUUAUAAAUGCAGGUUUAUAGGCAUAUGAUCUACAUUAAUACGAUGCUGGAAAUUUUCAGGUAGUGUGUUAUCCUCUUCUUACAUUCUUAUUUAUAUAACCAUUCUUACAAAUAAUAUUAUUUGGUUAUGUCUUAUACAUAUAGAGUGUACUCACCCAUAUCACUCUCAUCUCGCUUAGUGUAGUCGUGAAGUUGAAUUUUGUAACUGUGAUGCAGUGAAGAUCUCAGAUUCAUUUAGGCAUAUUUAUCUGCAAUCUCCAAAAGACGAGUACAGAGUUCUUGAGGCUUGGAGAACAUUGCCAUAUGAUCUGCAUCUUUGAUCUUCAUUACUUCUUUUACUGGAAAGUUCUUGAUCAUCCAGCGCUGGUAAUCCUCGGUUAUCGCGCGGUCCUCUCCACAGAUGAUAUAUAUACGUGUAACGGAUCCAUACCCUUCCUCACUGAAGCUUCUUGUCCCUGCCAGAUUGUUUGUAACGAUCGGGUUUACCCUCACCAACAUUUUUGCCAAUUCAAGAUCCUAAUCCGCCACAACAAUCAUCAAUUAAAAAGUUGACUGAGGUUACAAGCAAAUCUCAUUUGGGUUUUAAGUAGGAGUCUUACUUGGACCGGAGAGAGUUGAUACAAAUCCCUGGCCAUGGAUUUUGGUCCGAAAAGAACAAACUCUAGAGGGCGAUCAGGUGUCCCGUAGGUUCCAAACACAGUAUCCAACGGUUCUUCUUGUGGAUCACUUCUGAUCAGCUGAUGAUUUCAGGCAGAUAUCAGAAAUCAAUAUGAAGAGAUCAGACUAUGCAAUCGAAUCAUCGUACCUUUUCAUAAACAUAAGCAGGUAGAUUUCUUGUGUCCGGCAUGAAAGCUGUCAAGAAGACAACAGCAGCAAUCUUACAAUGAAAUAUGUCAGCAGCAAGUGCAGCUGGUAGUCCUCCCAUACUAUGCGCAACAAGUAUCACCUUGUCGUCAUCCGGACCAAGAGAACUCAUAAACUCAAGUAAUGGUUUGCUGUAAUCCUUCAGAGUUUGAAUAUCUUCCAGUCUAGUCAUGUCUAUACCCGAUGCAGCCAGAUCCACUGCAGUCACACAGUGACCUGCAGCCUCCAGCAGUGCUGUCACCUUGUACCAAGUCCACGCACCGUGGCACAGGCCAUGGACGAGCACAAACCUUUUCUGGUUGUUCUUCUCCAUUAUCUUUUUUACUUUCAGCAUCUUGUGGUUCAACACUUAUAAAUUAUUAAGUUUCCCGCAUUUACUAUUUGGAUGGUGACUAAUAGAUUUUGGUCAUUGUCUGACAUCUAUUAGAAUUCUAAACCGACACUAUAUUGACCAUUAGUUUAUUUAUUUAUUUGUUUCAACCAUCGAAAGCAAUAAAUUCUAACCUUCUGCAGCAAACACUUAAGUGCAUCAAAACCUCGUACAUUUGCAUUGGUAGGCUUGAAGGCUCUGAUACCGUAUAGAUUUAGAUCGAAGUAUCUUUCUUUUCAUGAAAUCAUGACGCUUUGUAAUUUCUUUAAAGGUCAUUACAGUAUUCAUUACCAUUCUUGCAUACAGGUCUUACAUGAAUCUUUAAUCGUUUGUUCUUAUGAAUCUUUAUUCUCAUAUGGUUGAUUGUUGUGGUGGAAGCUGAAGUUGGUUAUUUAUUUGCAGUGACAAUCUCAGGUUUACUUAGGCGUAUUCAUCUGCAAUCUCCAAGAGAAGAGCACAUAGUUCUUUAGGCCUGGAAGACAUUGCCAUAUGAUCUGCAUCUUGGAUCUCCAUUACUUCUUUCACCGGAAAGUUACUGAUCAUCCAACGCUGGUAUUCCUCAGGUAAUAUAUUAUCCUCUCCACAUAUGAUAUAAAUACGUUUAACCGAUCCAUACCCUUCCUCAGUAAAGCUUCUUGUCCCUGUCAGAUUGGUCGUAACCACCGGGUUCACCCUUACCAACAAUUUCGCCAAUACAAGAUCCUAACCGUUGAGAACAGAGAAUAGAAAAAGAUUGACUGGGGUUACUAGCAAUCUCAUUUGUUAGAAUAAGGUUUGAUUAGGCUUGGAGUCUUACUUCUACCGGAGACUGUUGAUACACUUUCUUGGCCAUGAACUUUGGUCCCAAAAGAAUAGACUCUAGAGGACAUUCUGGAUUCCCGUACCUCCCAAACAGGGUGUCCAACCAUUCCUCUCGCGGAGUGCUUCUCAUCAGCUGGAGAUUUCAAUCAGAUAUCAGAAUACAACAGUCAAAAGCGACCAUACCGUGCAGCCAAAUCAUCAUGUUCUAUAUCAAAAUCAUACCUUUUCGAAAACGUAAGCAGGUGGGCUUCUUGUGUCCGGCAUGAAAGCUGCCACAAAAACCAUAGCAGCAAUCUUACUAGGGAAGAUGUCGGCAGCAAGCGCAGCGGGUAUUCCUCCCAUGCUAUGCGCAACAAGAAUCACCUUCUCGUCAUCUGGACCAAGAGAGCUCAGAUACUCAAGUAACGGUUCGGAGUAAUCCAUCAGUGUCUGAACAUCUUCCAACCUGGUCAUGUUUCGACCUGAUGCAGCCAGAUCAACUGCAGUCACACAGUGACCUGCAGCUUCUAGCUGUGUUUUCACCUUGUACCAACUCCACGCUCCGUGGCAGACCGCAUGCACAAGCACAAACCGCAUUAUCUCCAUUUCCUUCUUGUAGUUUCAUCAUCUUGCUUCAACUCUUUAUAUAUACACAUAGUCUGAGCUAUACCUCUGUACGGUUUCACCAUGCUUCUGGUGGCUUGUCGCGUGCAAACUCUUACGUGAUCAAAGAGCUCAAAUUUGUAUUUACAUAUCUUUCAAGCUAGAUACAAGUGAAAAGUCUAAUCUUGGAAUGAUACCUAUGUAAAACUCUAACCACCACAAAAAUUGACACUACUUUUUGGACUUUUAUUACAGUAGAUGACUAGAUGUUACCAAACUCUAAUCAUUUUUUUUGUUCUCUCUGUUUUUGCUUUCUUGCUCUUCUAUUCUAUCGUUCAGAAAAAAAUACUACACUAAGUAAUACAUAAGAGAGAAUCAUAGUGACUCAGUGUGCAAAUCAUGAAAUAUGAAUCGUUAAUUGUGAAAACAUGAAAAUACAUUUUUCUUAAAAUCACUCACACAUCACUCAAAUCUGGCUAAUAUAAUUAUGGUUGAAGCUGAUUUGUGUAACUAUAAUGUAGUGACACAUCUUAAGUUCAUUUUAGGCAUAUUUAUCCGCAAUCUCCAAGAGAAGAGCAGAGAGUUCUUGAGGCUUAGAGAACAUUGCCAUAUGAUCUGCAUCUUUGAUCUCCAUUACUUCAUUUGGUGGGAAGUUCUUGAUCAUCUCAAGCUGGAACUCCC